UUUUGGGCGUAUAACCAGUUUGUAGGUCCUACUAUUUGAUCUGUGGACGUGACCAAUGAGGGCAUGGAGAUUAUGGCGAGGCAUGGUGAUGCAGUGGCAGUGGUGAAGGUAACCACAUCGAAGGCAGCGGCAAUGGGUGGUUGUCGAUGAAAGCAGCAUGGGGAUGGGGGAGGUGGAGAGGCGAGGGAUGGAGGCGGAGGACGGCAGCCAGGGAGACGGAGUGGCAGUGAGAUUGGACGAGCUCGCCUGCGGAGUGCGUGGGCAAGAUUUCCUUUCCGGGUUGGACGAGGGCUUCUUUGUUUGUGUGUGUGUGCAUGUAAGUUGAUGCUCCAUCUUGUUAUUCAUUUCCUGGGAUCAUUUCUCGAGGAAUGUACGGAUUUCUCGAAGUGACGCAAUGCUAUGAUCUUCAACCAUGAAAAUGAAACUGUCAGCGCUGAUGGCCUGCUCCUGUGAUCUCAUAGCAUUGUGUCAAGGAGCAGGUGGAGAGGGAGAAAGAGAAAGGGAGAAUGGAAGCCAAGUGAUAGACAAAGAGAGUGAAA